rnacentral:rRNA from 1 species
AGCAGUAGCCGCGGUAAUACGGAGGGGGCUAGCGUUGUUCGGAAUUACUGGGCGUAAAGCGCACGUAGGCGGCUUGGUAAGUUAGAGGUGAAAGCCUGGAGCUCAACUCCAGAAUUGCCUUUAAGACUGCCGAGCUAGCAGGUGAGAGAGGUAAGUGGAAUUCCGAGUGUAGAGGUGAAAUUCGUAGAUAUUCAGAAGAACACCAGUGGCGAAGGCGGCUUACUGGCUCAUACUGGACGCUGAGGUGCGAAAGCGUUGGGAGCAAACAGGAUUAGAUACCCCUGUAGUCCCUGUCUCUUAUAC